UCUUAUCGAGAGAGGCGGAGGGACAAGGCCCGAUGAAGCCCAGCAACCGAUUCGUUCAUGGCACGGUGUAAGAUACCGUAAGGCCCCGGGAACGGAUGUCAUGGUGCUAAAUCCUUCAAGACCAAGCGGUUUGCACGGUUGGUGUUGGCAGAUGA
rnacentral:ncRNA from 1 species